rnacentral:rRNA from 1 species
GCUGACGAGUGGCGGACGGGUGAGUAAUGUCUGGGAAACUGCCUGAUGGAGGGGGAUAACUACUGGAAACGGUAGCUAAUACCGCAUAACGUCGCAAGACCAAAGAGGGGGACCUUCGGGCCUCUUGCCAUCGGAUGUGCCCAGAUGGGAUUAGCUAGUAGGUGGGGUAACGGCUCACCUAGGCGACGAUCCCUAGCUGGUCUGAGAGGAUGACCAGCCACACUGGAACUGAGACACGGUCCAGACUCCUACGGGAGGCAGCAGUGGGGAAUAUUGCACAAUGGGCGCAAGCCUGAUGCAGCCAUGCCGCGUGUAUGAAGAAGGCCUUCGGGUUGUAAAGUACUUUCAGCGGGGAGGAAGGGAGUAAAGUUAAUACCUUUACUCAUUGACGUUACCCGCAGAAGAAGCACCGGCUAACUCCGUGCCAGCAGCCGCGGUAAUACGGAGGGUGCAAGCGU